AAUAAAAUGGCUGAGCUUAAGCGAUAAAUUGUAAAUUUAUUUACGAGAUUUUUCUCUUUUAUUA
rnacentral:tRNA from 1 species